rnacentral:rRNA from 1 species
AUGGAGGGCGGCAGCAGCAGCCUCGACGCGGCGAUCGAGUCGCUCCUGAACACGGAGAAGCAGUGCCGCCUCGCCGGGGAUGUGGCCGGCACCCGGAAGGCCGCCGUCGACAUCGUCGAGCUCUGCUUCAAGGACGCCGCCUGGAAGACGCUCAACGACCAGAUCGUCGUCCUCUCCAAGCGGCGGGGCCAGCUCAAGCAGGCUAUUACUGCUGUGGUUCAGAAAGCGAUGGAGUACAUUGAUGUGACACCAGACGUGGAAACACGUAUUGAGCUUAUCAAAACAUUGAGCAGCGUCGCUGCUGGAAAAAUAUAUGUGGAGAUAGAGAGAGCUAGAUUGAUCAAAAGACUUGCAAAAAUCAAAGAGGAACAGGGAAAGAUUGAUGAAGCUGCUGAAAUCAUGCAGGAAGUUGCUGUUGAAACAUUUGGCUCGAUGGCCAAGACAGAGAAACUUGCAUUCAUUCUGGAGCAGGUUCGUCUGUGCCUGGAUCGUCAAGAUUAUGUGCGCGCACAAAUUUUAUCCAGGAAGAUUAGCCCUAGGGUCUUUGAUGCUGAUACAUCAAAGGACAAAAAGAAACCAAAGGAAGGUGAUAAUAUGGUUCAGGAAGCCCCUGCAGAUGUACCUUCACUCUUAGAACUGAAGCGCAUCUACUAUGAACUGAUGAUUCGCUAUUACUCACAUAACAAUGAUUACCUGGAAAUCUGCCGUUGCUACAAGUCGAUCUAUGAAAUUCCAUCAAUAAAAGAGGAUCCAGCAAAGUGGACACCGAUUCUUAGGAAGAUCUGUUGGUUCUUGGUGCUGGCACCUCAUGAUCCAAUGCAGUCAAGCCUUCUCAAUGCUACACUAGAGGAUAAAAACCUUUCUGAGAUCCCAAAUUUCAGAUUACUACUGAAGCAAGUUGUUACCAUGGAGGUGAUCCAGUGGACAAAGUUGUGGGAAUUCUUCAAGGAUGAAUACGAGAACGAGAAGAAUCUCCUUGGAGGAGCUUUAGGCACGAAAGCUGCGGAGGAUUUGAAGCUGAGGAUCAUUGAGCAUAAUAUCUUGGUUGUUUCGAAGUACUAUUCGAGGAUUACCCUGAAGAGGCUGGCGGAUCUUCUUUGCCUGAGCUUGCAGGAGGCAGAGAAGCACAUCUCGGACAUGGUGAACUCAAAGGCCCUGAUUGCCAAGAUCGACAGACCGAUGGGGAUUGUGUCUUUCCGGACAGCCCAGGACAGCAACGGGGUGCUCAACUCGUGGGCGUCAAACCUGGAGAAGCUCCUGGACCUGGUAGAGAAGAGCUGCCACCAAAUACACAAGGAGACGAUGAUCCACAAGGCAGUGCUAAAGGCGUGA